AUUGAACGCUGGCGGCAGGCUUAACACAUGCAAGUCGAGCGGGGUGAUGGUGCUUGCACUAUCACUUAGCGGCGGACGGGUGAGUAAUGCUUAGGAAUCUGCCUAUUAGUGGGGGACAACAUCUCGAAAGGGAUGCUAAUACCGCAUACGUCCUACGGGAGCACGCAGGGGAUCUUUAUGACCUUGCGCUAAUAGAUGAGCGUAAGUCGGAUUAGCUAGUUGGUGGGGUAAAGGCCUACCAAGGCGACGAUCUGUAGCGGGUCUGAGAGGAUGAUCCGCCACACUGGGACUGAGACACGGCCCAGACUCCUACGGGAGGCAGCAGUGGGGAAUAUUGGACAAUGGGGGGAACCCUGAUCCAGCCAUGCCGCGUGUGUGAAGAAGGCCUUAUGGUUGUAAAGCACUUUAAGCGAGGAGGAGGCUCUUUUGGUUAAUACCCAGAAUGAGUGGACGUUACUCGCAGAAUAAGCACCGGCUAACUCUGUGCCAGCAGCCGCCGUAA
rnacentral:rRNA from 1 species